rnacentral:rRNA from 1 species
AACCAAAAGAUAAAGUCAUAUUAGUAGGUAAAAAGAUAGUUAGGUUAGGUUAAAAGUUUAUAGAUUUGUUAUAUGAAGGUAAAAUUUGAAUAUAAUGCUAUAAAAUAUAAUAAGCUGCAACACUGAAGCUAUGAUAAUUUUGAGGGAAACUGGGAUUAGAUACCCCAUUAUUCAAAACUUUAAAUUAAUAAAAAUUUACCAGAGUACUAUGAAUAAAUAAAAUUUAAAACUCAAAGGGCUUGGCGGUGUUUUAGACCAAUUAGGGGAACCUGUCUCGUAAUCGACAAUCCACGUUAGACCUAACCCUUUUUUGUGUUACAGUUUGUAUACCGUCGUCGUCAGGUAACUCUUAAGAAAUAAGAAGUUGGCAUAUAUAAUAAUGUUAGUUAAAACGUCAGAUCAAGGUGCAGCUUAUAAAAGGGAGAGGAUGGGUUACAAUUAUUUAUUAAUAACUAUGGAUGGUUCAAUGAAAAAAGCUUGAAGGAGGACUUAAAAGUAAUGUUGUAAUAUAUAGAUAGUUUGAAUAAGGCUCUGAAACGUGC